rnacentral:lncRNA from 1 species
AUUAUAAUACAUUCGACUUUGCGGGUCUCGCCUCUCAAAAGAGCGUCCGGCGACAGUCCAACUGACAUGUCUGGCUAUGAGGCAUUGAGGCGUACGUUGCGCCAAUCCAGGUCAUGAUCGUAAACAUUCUCACUCGCUGCUCGAGAACAAAAAGAUUGAUUGAUCUAGGCCAGUGCUCUCAGUCUCAGUUACACAAAAACGAUACCUAAUGUCCUACACUAACAUGUGCGUUUCUAACAGUCGGUGUAUGCAGCAUCCCCGUCCGAUGACUUUAUUUUCCCUGAAAACGGUAAAAACAAUUGAAUUUUUCAUCAUUUUCCAUAUUCGUUGGGGGCAUUGCAUUCUACAUGCGGCGGUUGAAUGCUUACGUGUAACGACAUGUGAUUACUUUUUUUAGAAACAUCAGAAUUUUCUUUCUUCCUCAACAUCGAUCGGAAAUAUAUUGAUUGAUCUAGAGCAGCCAACUAUCAAACUCAAAUCCCACUCCGAAUCUAGCUCGUUUCAAAUGUUAAAAAAGCAUUGUACCUUGGAGGCUUGAACCAAACGCCGGAAAUUGGCUCUUCAUAUCCGCGAGGCUAGUCGAUCUAUUGAAUCCCUGUCAUUAUCCAAAUUGGCAUUAGCUGCUGCCAACCCAUGACGAUUACCUUUGAGUGAUGCAUCAGAUCAUCGCAAGCCACAGGGGUUGCACGGGCUCCGUGCAUUCAGGUCAGUCAAGCAAUUCAGCCUUCGCUCUCGGCGAAAUAUCUGUUUUCUUUUUCGUGAUUUCCUAUUAGAA